AGGCCAUGAUUUGGGCAACUUCGAAUGAUUCAUUUAAAGCGCUCCCAAGGCUCAUAGAAUGAUUCAAGAUCCUUUUGGGCAAAAGACAUGAUAUCUGCCUUACUUUGCAU